rfam:Felis catus isolate Cinnamon breed Abyssinian chromosome C1, whole genome shotgun sequence.
GCCUGGGGGGCUCAGUUGGUUUAGCGUCUGACUUCAGCUCAGGUCAUGAUCUCAUGGCUCAUGGGUUCAAGCCCCUCUUCAGGCU